UCAGUCCAGUUCUUAUUGAAGAGAUACUUCUUUCUCUCAGGAAAUGAUGUGGUCAUGUAAUCGAUUACCAUGCCACAUGUAUCAGCUUAAGUGCUUGUAAAUAAGUCAAAUUAUUUAAAGUAUAAUAAUCUGCAGUAAAGGACUUCAGUUUGUUUUUUUCCAAAUUCAUCAUGAAAAGUUGCUGAUCACACAUUUUCAGCAAUAUGCGUACUUUAAGAUUAUAUAAAAUUACUUUUCAUGGACUAUAUUUAAUCUUCUGGAGAUAAACUGAAAAGAUGACUGUUUCAGUUGGCAGGACUGGUUGAUCAUUCAUCUCUCCUCAACAUUUGGAAAAAGAAAAGAAAGAAGACAAGACUCCUAAAGGUUAUCCAUCCACUCUGAGACACAGAGCUGAUAAAGAUAACAAAGGCUCAGUAGAUAAAUUGGUGACUGAAAACUCCUCUAAAUGUCUGGAGGAUGAGAUAGAAUAUGGAAGACAACAUGAACAACAUCUUACUCUCAUACUUUACAAUGUUGAUGACAGAAUGUGGGUAUUAAAAGUUUAGGCUCUGGAUUUUUUUUUUGUUUGUUUUUCUUACUCUGUGCUUGGACAACUUAACCUCUUAAAUUUUUUUGUAAUCUCUGAAAUUAAUAAUUAGGAUGCAUAACCAAUGAGGAUUUUUUGAGAAUUAAAUAAAUUCUCAAAAACAGUUUUUGACACUAUAGAGGCAUCCAUAAAUGCUUUCUGGUAAAAUUACAAAUAUAUCAUUUGACUGCCAUAAAAGUCAUAUGCGAUUAACACGUUAAGCAACAUUAGGCCCAAAUCAUCAGUUAAGAAAAUAUGCCCUGAUGGUCAAAUGAAGAUAAGCUACUAUAGUA
rnacentral:lncRNA from 1 species